UUAAAACGUGUGUCUAGUGGUCUAGUCUAAGUGCUAAUUUUGAUUCACUAUUCAGUAUUGUAUUCCCUAUUGUAGUAUUUUCUAAUUUUCUCUACUGUAUAUAUAUUAUAAUGAAGAGGUAUGAGUAUACAUAGACUUUAUACUAAGAAUAAUUAAUAUCUUAUAUGCAACCUAGUGUACAAGUCUGUGGUGAUGAGUAUACUGUUGCCGUAAUACCAUCGAGUAUAUAUAAGUUCUGUCGUUCUGUUCACAGGCAUAAAAUAAGAUACCUAUACAGGUAUAUAAAACAAAGUAUAUCUUAGUUCAUGUAUACGGCUAAUGCACUUAUUUACUAUCUGGUGAUUACAAUUCACAAGUUACAAUGACGAUGCUCAACAGUCAACAGUAUAAGUGUGAACAUCCUCAACUAUAAUUUAUCAUGAUUAUUAUUAAUUAAUUAACAAUUAAGGAACACAUGGAAUGGGAUGGCUAAUUAACUAUAUAACACAUAUUGAUACUCCUUUUCAUACAAUGAGUUGGUCCUCCAGUAAUAGCUUUUAAUCCAGCAAAUUAAAGUCAUGAAUCCUCAAUGAAAGAAGAGACGCAAAUGAGGUACGCUGUCCAAAAAUACAAACAUUGURUACAACUUGUUCAAACACGCUAUAAAAUUCUUCAGAUUUCCAUCCACUGUCUUUAAUUCUUGUGCAUAGGUUGAAAAAUUGGUGCAUUUCAUUGACUGAAUUCAUCGCCCAAGCAAACAUCUUCCAUUUCACCUUCAUCAAUGCAGUAUAUUGACCAUGAACUUUCCCUUGGUCCAGAGGCAGUUACAGCAAAUACUAAUAUAAUGAUCAAAGGCUACAUCAUCUGUCAUCAUUACAAUUAUACGGUCAACUGGUAUACCAUUAUUCAACAAUGUUUGGUAUGCAUGUGAAAC